GGAGCCAUAGGGAGGGAUCUUAAUCCAGCCUUAGGAAAAGAAACCUGCCACAGGAGUCUUAGAGAUUGACGACCAUUCUAAUGACUUA
rnacentral:pre_miRNA from 1 species